rnacentral:rRNA from 1 species
GUUUGAUCCUGGCUCAGAUUGAACGCUGGCGGCAUGCCUUACACAUGCAAGUCGAACGGCAGCACGGAGCUUGCUCUGGUGGCGAGUGGCGAACGGGUGAGUAAUAUAUCGGAACGUACCCUGGAGUGGGGGAUAACGUAGCGAAAGUUACGCUAAUACCGCAUACGAUCUACGGAUGAAAGUGGGGGAUCGCAAGACCUCAUGCUCGUGGAGCGGCCGAUAUCUGAUUAGCUAGUUGGUAGGGUAAAAGCCUACCAAGGCAUCGAUCAGUAGCUGGUCUGAGAGGACGACCAGCCACACUGGAACUGAGACACGGUCCAGACUCCUACGGGAGGCAGCAGUGGGGAAUUUUGGACAAUGGGCGAAAGCCUGAUCCAGCAAUGCCGCGUGAGUGAAGAAGGCCUUCGGGUUGUAAAGCUCUUUUGUCAGGGAAGAAACGGUGAGAGCUAAUAUCUCUUGCUAAUGACGGUACCUGAAGAAUAAGCACCGGCUAACUACGUGCCAGCAGCCGCGGUAAUACGUAGGGUGCAAGCGUUAAUCGGAAUUACUGGGCGUAAAGCGUGCGCAGGCGGUUUUGUAAGUCUGAUGUGAAAUCCCCGGGCUCAACCUGGGAAUUGCAUUGGAGACUGCAAGGCUAGAAUCUGGCAGAGGGGGGUAGAAUUCCACGUGUAGCAGUGAAAUGCGUAGAUAUGUGGAGGAACACCGAUGGCGAAGGCAGCCCCCUGGGUCAAGAUUGACGCUCAUGCACGAAAGCGUGGGGAGCAAACAGGAUUAGAUACCCUGGUAGUCCACGCCCUAAACGAUGUCUACUAGUUGUCGGGUCUUAAUUGACUUGGUAACGCAGCUAACGCGUGAAGUAGACCGCCUGGGGAGUACGGUCGCAAGAUUAAAACUCAAAGGAAUUGACGGGGACCCGCACAAGCGGUGGAUGAU